CUCGGAAUCACGAAUAAUUAUCAACACGAUCGGUCUAUGUGAACAGUUUUUGGUGAAUUCGCGGGACAGCCGAAGGGACGCGAGCAACCACUACAAGUCGAUUAGAGUGUCUUUUAGGACGUCUGUCUAGGACAACUGUUUAAACGGCUAUUUGCAAUGAGCGAGCAGAGGAACGUGCUCACAAACCCGCGCUAGGCCGCGCCAAAAGAAGCGGGAAGUGAAACGAGUAUAGUUGCGCAGCAGCAAAGGUCUUUUCCGGUUCUGUCAACGGAGUGAGAAGUACAGACUAUCACAAUGG